rnacentral:lncRNA from 1 species
UUAUCAAAUCAUUCACUCAUUUUCUGCCGCUUACCUGUUUCCAGGUCGUGGGGGGUGCUGGAGCCAAUCCCAGCUCACAUUGGGUGAGGGCGGGUUGCACCCUGAACAGGUCGCUGGUCCAUCACAGGGCCAACAUACGCAGACAGAGACCCAACAACCACUCACACUCACACUCAGACCUGCGGACAAUUUAGAGUCACCAGUCAACCAAAACAUUCAUGUCUGUGGAUGGUGGGAGGAAACAUGAAACACGAUAACAUGCAAACUCCACACACAAAGGCCCCAGGCCCGGGAACCAAACCCAUGACCUUAUUGUUGUGGGGCAACAGUGCUAACCACUAUGCCACCGUGCUGCCCAUUUAUCACAUCUUUAGAUGUAAAUUGGUUAAAAAAUAUAUUAUUUUUUUUUAAGAUUUUAACAUUUUUAAAGGGUAUAGAGCAUCGAGUAGUUGCCUGGAUGUCUAAUGUGUAUAUUUUCCCAUGGAGACGGCCGGCCAGAUUCUUGGGGCGGACAUCGGUCAAGGAGGACAAGACCAGCAGACCGUACCACCAAAUGUUGAAUCCUCUGAGCAGAUGAAUGACUCUCCUAAGCAGAGCACCAAGGCUGGGUGGUUCAGUGGUUGGUUCGCAUCAAAGCCCAAAGCUCUCCAAAAGGAGAGCUCAGAGCAGAGAGGCCCACCUCAAACAGCUGUACCACCUACAGCUGGAUCCCAGCAGCCCUCCUCUAGCGGGAUAAAUCCUUUUUCAAGGAAAGCAGGUGAG